GAUGAACGUUGACAGAAUGCUUAACACAUGCAAGUCUACUUGAACUUCGGUUUGGGUGGCGGACGGGUGAGUAACGCGUAAAGAACUUGCCUCACAGAUAGGGACAACAUUUGGAAACGAAUGCUAAUACCUGAUAUUAUGAUUUUAGGGCAUCCUAGAAUUAUGAAAGCUAUAUGCACUGUGAGAGAGCUUUGCGUCCCAUUAGCUAGUUGGAGAGGUAACGGCUCACCAAGGCGAUGAUGGGUAGCCGGCCUGAGAGGGUGAUCGGCCACAAGGGGACUGGGACACGGCCCUUACUCCAACGGGAGGCAGCAGUGGGGAAUAUUGGACAAUGGACCAAGAGUCUGAUCCAGCAAUUCUGUGUGCACGAUGAAGUUUUUCGGAAUGUAAAGUGCUUUCAGUUGGGAAGAAAAAAAUGACGGUACCAACAGAAGAAGUGACGGCUAAAUACGUG
rnacentral:rRNA from 1 species